rnacentral:lncRNA from 1 species
AUAGAAGGAGGGUGUACCCUGCUAUUGGGCUGCGAUGCUGCUUUGGGAAGAAGAACGGCCUAGACGAAUCAGAAGGUCAUGGAUUCUUAUCCCGGCUCCGCCACUUGUCUGCGGUGUGACCUUGGGCAGGUCACCUGACCUCUGUGUGCCUCAGUUUCCUCAACUGCAAAAUGGGGAUUCAUAGAGCCCAAUUAUCCGAAGGCCAUGCUGCUCCCUGGAGUUUCCAGUCUCAUGGAGAGGGAUGCAAAGUGUAAACCUGCCACAGGAACAAGUACAAGAGCAGCGAUUCAACUGAGAAAACCAAAACUGUGCUGGCAGGACCGCCCUUCAUUUUUUCAGACGUUAAGACCUGCCUCAGCUAUUUCUUCGGGACAGCAUCCAAAUUGGAAGUACUGCUCUUAUCUAGAGCACAGGAAAGUUGUUAUGAGGAACCCCAUGUUCAAACCCCUGCGUGAUUUUGAGGUCGUACGGAUCCGACGGUGGCUAUCUAAAGUCGCCCUUUCGAGCAACAACAGAACAUUUGGAAAGGUGUCGCCAUCCGUUGUGAGAAUGCAGGCGAGUUCUCUUUCUCUGCGAGGGAGUGUCGCCGGCCAUUUCCAUAAUUGGUUUCUCUGUUUACCAGUUUGGGAAGCUAAGGACAUUGAUGGCAUCGUAUUGAUCCUCUUUCUCAGAAGGAAUUAUCCACAGGAAAAAAGAAUCGCUUCUGUAAAGUCGUCACCGUUUACGAGAGCCACAAAACUACUUUUUCUGGCCUCUUUCAAAUCAGAGGUUGAAUUCUGGUGUGCAGACUCUAGGAAAGGGAGUCGAUCCGAACGAGAGGAUGAAGAGUCCUUAAUGGAGCUUGGAAAAACAACGAAUACCUAUAAAUCAAAGAAGAAAAGCCGUUUUUGAUGCAUUUGUCUGAGAGUUAUUGUCAUUCCCAAAACAGAUGUCCCCCGGUCUUCUCAGAGACUCCUUCGCUAGAGAACAAUGCCGACC